rnacentral:rRNA from 1 species
CCUACGGGAGGCAGCAGUGGGGAAUCUUGGGCAAUGGACGCAAGUCUGAUCCAGCAACGCCGCGUGAAGGAAUAAGGCUUUCGGGUUGUAAACUUCUUUUAAGGGGGAAGAGCAGAAGACGGUACCCCUUGAAUAAGCCACGGCUAACUACGUGCCAGCAGCCGCGGUAAUACGUAGGUGGCAAGCGGUGUCCGGAUUUACUGGGUGUAAAGGGCGUGCAGCCGGAGUGACAAGUCAGAUGUGAAAUCAACGGGCUCAACCCGUGAACUGCAUUUGAAACUGUUUCCCUUGAGUGUCGGAGGGGUAAUCGGAAUUCCUGGUGUAGCAGUGAAAUGCGUAGAGAUUAGGAAGAACACGAGUGGCGAAGGCGGAUUACUGGACGAUAACUGACGGUGAGGCGCGAAGGCCUGGGGAGCGAACGGGAUUAGAUACCCCUGUAGUC